GUGCGUUUUGAAUCCAAUUAUUCUUUCCAUGCCUGAUAUUUGUCUCAUUAUAUUGGAGUUGAUACACAUGCUAAUUGCAACUGCUCAGUCCAUACCUUCGUCCCUCUAUCGUUUUACGUGUCUGGGUUUGUUAUUUGUCUUUAUAUUUCGUCGUUUGUUUGUACACUGUCAGUCUGUGCUGUUUUAGUUCGCUUGGUUUUUUUUUUUUUUUUUUUGUGUCUUGAUUUACAUUUGUACCUUCUUUCACUAGAUCUUCGGUUUUCCCCUUUCACGUAUCAGGGGAGUGAGGUUUCACCACAAUUAACUACAUACAUAAAUAUAUUGGAGUUGGAUUACACUACCCACCCUCUUUGGUCGCAACACUUUCUACCCCUUGUGUCACUCAUCUGAGUUUUAUCUAAAUUGAUUUUGUCGCAGAAAUAAGGGACUAAUGUGGCGUCAGUCAAAAUGAGAAAAACAAAGACAAAUACCUACCCAGAUCCUUAAA
rnacentral:lncRNA from 1 species